AGAUUGAACGCUGGCGGCAGGCCUAACACAUGCAAGUCGAGCGGCAGCACGGGUACUUGUACCUGGUGGCGAGCGGCGGACGGGUGAGUAAUGCCUAGGAAUCUGCCUGAUAGUGGGGGAUAACGUUCGGAAACGGACGCUAAUACCGCAUACGUCCUACGGGAGAAAGUGGGGGAUCUUCGGACCUCACGCUAUCAGAUGAGCCUAGGUCGGAUUAGCUAGUUGGUAGGGUAAAGGCCUACCAAGGCUACGAUCCGUAACUGGUCUGAGAGGAUGAUCGGUCACACUGGAACUGAGACA
rnacentral:rRNA from 1 species